GGGCGACUGACUCCGAUGACUUGUGGAUGGAUGAGUUGGAGAGACGGGAAACAGAGAGAAACAGAGAGGAGAUUGAGAAAGUGAGAGUUGAGACAGAGCUGAAUAGACAGAGACAGGAAAGAGGGAUAGAGAUUGAGAGAGCUAAAGCAGAGAUGGUGAGAAAGAGAGAGGAGAUUGAGAAAGUGAGAGUGGAGAUGGAGCGAAAAAGAGAGGAACAGGAAAGAAGGAUGGAGGAGAUGGAGCGAACAAGAGAGGAAGCAGAAAUUGAAAUAAACAAAGAAAGGGAGAGGGAGAAACAUGAAGACCAGAGGCAAAAAGGAAAGGAGAGACAAGAGGGAAGUGAGAAUUCAGGAAAAGAAGAGAUGGAGAAGACGGAGGAUGAGAAAGUGAAAGAGCCACAGACG
ensembl:lncRNA